GAUGAAGAACGUAGCGAAAUGCGAUACGUAAUGUGAAUUGCAGAAUUCAGUGAAUCAUCGAGUCUUUGAACGCACAUUGCGCCCCUUGGUAUUCCGAGGGGCAUGCCUGUUCGAGCGUCAUUUCAACCCCUCAAGCUCAGCUUGGUGUUGGGCUGCGCCAGCGUGCUGGCGGGCCUUAAAAUCAGUGGCGGUGCCGCGUGGGCUCCAAGCGUAGUAGCAUCUCUCGCUCUGGGGACCCGGCGGUUGCCUGCCAGACAAUCACUAAAAAAACAAAAGGUUUGACCUCGGAUCAGGUAGGGAUACCCGCUGAACUUAAGCAUAUCAAUAAGCGGAGGA
rnacentral:misc_RNA from 1 species